rnacentral:lncRNA from 1 species
CCGGCGCGCAGCAGGUGCUCGGCCUGCAGGAGCGGCGCUUCCGCCAGCAGGACCACGAAGGCCGCGCCGUCGCCGCUGCUCUCCGCCUGCGUGUGGGCCGCCUCGCGCAGGAGCCGCGCCGCGGGGUGCUCCAGCUCCAGCGCGCGCAGGAUGGCCGCGGCGUAGCCCGUCAGCACGGUGGUUCCUCUGGCGGUGACCAGGAGCUUCUGCCGGCCGUGGGGGCCGUAGCAAGGCCGGAUGACCCUGGCCAGGGUCUGCGCCGCCGGCAAGCUGCGGAGCAGGUGGCAGGUGUGUGAUGUCCUCCUUCCCAUGAUAAUGAUGUCACCGAGCUGGCAGAGGCGGGUCAACACGAGGGAGGCAAAGACGCUGACAACCUACAGGCAAACUGGGGAAAUGUUUGCAGCCGAGUGAAAGUGACCAGCCUCCCAGAGGCUGGGAAGUUGCCUGCCUGCCCUUUUUGUGUUUAUCUUGUUAAGUACUGACAGACUUAAAAUAUAGACCCCUAGAGGGCAAGAUUCAUAUCUAUACGGAGUGUGCUGCAGAACAUACACUCAUGCCUCAUACUCUUCUGCACAAAUUAUUUUUGACGGUGAGUGUUCUGUUUAAUUACUUCUCGGUUUCUUCCUUAAUUUUUC